UCCGCCUGGCUCUGCCUCCCGAGUGCUGGGAUUAAAGGGAUGCGCCACCAUGUCCAGCUACCAGAUCUUAUUAUAUAUGACUAUAAGCCACCAUGUGG
rnacentral:miRNA from 1 species